rnacentral:rRNA from 2 species
UGGGGAAUUUUCCGCAAUGGGCGAAAGCCUGACGGAGCAAUGCCGCGUGGAGGUGGAAGGCCUACGGGUCGUCAACUUCUUUUCUCGGAGAAGAAACAAUGACGGUAUCUGAGGAAUAAGCAUCGGCUAACUCUGUG